rnacentral:rRNA from 1 species
AGAACGAACGCUGGCGGCAGGCUUAACACAUGCAAGUCGAACGCUCGUAGCAAUACGGGAGUGGCAGACGGGUGAGUAACGCGUGGGAACAUACCCUCCGGUUCGGAAUAGCUCAGGGAAACUUGGAUUAAUACCGGAUACGGCUGAGAGGCGAAAGAUUUAUCGCCGGAGGAUUGGCCCGCGUUCGAUUAGCUUGUUGGUGAGGUAACGGCUCACCAAGGCGAUGAUCGAUAGCUGGUCUGAGAGGAUGAUCAGCCACAUUGGGACUGAGACACGGCCCAAACUCCUACGGGAGGCAGCAGUGGGGAAUAUUGGACAAUGGGCGCAAGCCUGAUCCAGCCAUGCCGCGUGAGUGAUGACGGCCUUAGGGUUGUAAAGCUCUUUCGCUCGGGACGAUAAUGACGGUACGAGAUAAGAGCCCGGCUAACUUCGCGCCAGCAGCCGC